rnacentral:lncRNA from 1 species
GAGGGAGAAGCAGGCUCCAUGCACCGGGAGCCCGACGUGGGAUUCGAUCCCGGGUCUCCAGGAUCGCGCCCUGGGCCAAAGGCAGGCGCCGAACCGCCGCGCCACCAGGGCUCCCGAAGCUUUGGCUGUCGCCCCAUGUCUCGGGAGGAAGGCCACGAGGCGGUUCGCCGUCUGCCCACGUGGGCUGGGUGCGGGCCCCACGCGCUGGGCGAAGCCUGCGCCGCCCCUUCCCUCGUCCCUGCGGGCUCCCGAGGCUCGGAGCCGCCGGCCUGGCGCGGGGGGUGAAGGCACCGGCCGGGACCGAGGGGCUGGAAGGCGGUCCCGCCAGGGAUCCUGCUCGGCCCUACAAACAGCCUUGCCUACGGUUGUCAAAAACACAUUUCCCGGCCCUGGUGUCUCGAAGCCAAAGCCCGCGGAAUCCAACAACCAGGAAUUCUAAUUCCAACAGGCGUCUUUGGGGCACUUCUGGUGUUUUGAAGACGAAGCGGAGACUCAGGGCCAGGAAGAGGGUACGUGGCAAAUCCGGCAAUGAGGAAGAAGCUUUCCAGACAUUUCCCUACAGAAAUGCAUCACCCCACAGGCGAGUCCCUACCAUCGUCUCAUCCCACCAGGAAUGAAGAGGAUUCCCUCUGUUCAGCACGUUCACUUCUUAUUGAGUCCCCCGCCUCUCCCAUUUUCUUAAUCAUUACACAAAACCACCACGGCCUAUAGAAGAAUGGGCGUGUUGCUUCUGAGUUCUCUGGGUCCCCUGGGCAGUUUUGCUGACCUAGGCAGACUGGGCCAAUUUUGGCCAGGCUCUUGCAGUAGGGGGGCAGGGCACCUGGGACUAGCAGAGACACCUGUUCC